rnacentral:rRNA from 1 species
UACGUAGGAGGCGAGCGUUGUCCGGAAUUACUGGGUGUAAAGAGCGCGCAGGCGGUCGUUCAAGUCGAGUGUGAAAGCCCCCGGCUCAACUGGGGAGGGUCAUUCGAUACUGAUCGACUCGAAGGCAGGAGAGGGAAGCGGAAUUCCCGGUGUAGUGGUGAAAUGCGUAGAUAUCGUGAGGAAGACCAGUGGCGAAGGCGGAAUCUCUGGACAAAUCCGUGACGCUGAGGCGCGAAGGCUAGGGGAGCAAACGGGG